GAUUUAUAUUGGUUACCAUAACUAGUAUAAGGGCUUUAAGUCUUAUCAGUCACUUUAAAAAAAGGUUUUUACUAAUUUUUAGUUUUGUUACAAAUUUCCUGCCCUUUCCAGUAUACUGUAUCUACUCAUAUAUAUAAGGCCAAAAAAGUUUGACUAAAAAUUGACCCAAAAGACAUGGUUCAGUGAUCAACAGGUCAUUGUAUUAACCUGGUUAGGAAAAUGAUGAUGGCUCUGUGGUGUUUCCCCGCUGCAGCUGAAACAGUAGAAGCCAUUCUACUGUUUACAUUCUGCUGGGACAAACUAAGCUUUCACCUCCCACUACUCUACUCAGAAAAUGGGAUGGUUCCUUUUUUUGAGAAAUUUUAAGGUUCGGUAUUAACUCUUAGCAAAAAAGGAACUACAGGCAGCCCCCAAGUUACAGGAAAGAUAGGUUCUGUUGGUAUAAAGAUAAAAAGAAAAAAGGGUAGUGACAGUGCAGGAAUUGUGAUACAAGACGUAAGUGCCUUGGGGUGACACCAUGAGUCUUACGCAGUUUGGACGGCAGUCAUUUUGUCACCCCCUCUAAUGGUGUAGCCAUUGCAAUCUGCGGGUUAUAUGAAAAUCAGUAACAACCUGCCUUUAGCUUAUACGUGAGGGGAGGUUUACACAUAUAUAUGGUAGCCAGUGCUAAACAUUUUUCUAUUGCUCAAUUCCAAAACAAGAAGUCAUAUAAGAGAAAAUAAAAA